UUGGAAUCUUGUAUUUGUAUUUACUUUCUAAGUCAAUAAUUGUGUUGAAUUUUAUCAGUUAUUGCUGCUGAUUUCUCCAUAGUUUUUAAGUCUGUUAUUUUUUAUACAACAGCCUAAUCUAGAAACGAAGCACUCAUUUGAGGCGACCAAUUCGUGUGAAUUUGUUGUCAAUCUUUUUUUUUUUUGCCAAGUACUACUGCAUAUUUAAUGAUUUGCAAUUUUUUUUAUUGUGAUGAUUAGUUACAAAAGGUGAAAGAAAUAAUAUCUGUGUCCCCUGGCCUUCCAACAAAAUGCGAAAAUGUUACAUGUAAUGUUAUAAUAAAACUUACACAUUCAAUUUAAAAAAAAGUUAUAUAUAGUUUUUUUUUUUUUUAAACACAGCGCCUUUGUUAUUUUAAAUUACCAGCAUACAUGUUUAUUAUUAUGAAAGGAAUCUUGCAGAAAGAUAUUAGUGCUAGAGAGUUUUGUCGCAGAUAGCUCGAAAAAAUUCUGCCUCAAGGAUUCAGAGUAUAACAGCUUUGGUUAUACCUAUCAUUUCAAUUAAUGUUAUUAUAUUGCUUUUUUAAAUUUAUUGUUGUGAUUUUGUUGGAGAAAAUAGUAACUUCGGUAAGUCAUGACAACUUCUUGGUAUUGAUGGAAAGUCAGGGAUUUGAAAAUCUAAAAUAUACCCUGCACAAUACCCUAUCAAAAUGAAAAGCAAUCCAUAGCUGAAUAUGUCCCAACUUUGCAACAUAUUUUAACUUAUGUGAUUCUUAAGUCAAAUGUGACUGUGAUAAGUGUUUUGAUGGUAUGGGUAUUUCUCUGCACACAAUUUAUACAUAGAAUUCUUGAUAAUUUGAUUCGUUAACAUACAAUCUGAUAUUGCAAUGUUUAAUAUAUUUAUGCGAAGGCCAUUGCUUUGGAAUCUUCUCAUAUACAAAGUAAAGACUAAUGCAAGAACUCUUUUCGAGAAUAAAGUGACUGAAAUAAGUAAUAAUAUAUUAUAAAAAUGAAAAAUUUAGAUAAUUCCUUCCUUCAGCAAUCCCAUGCCCAUUUUAUUUUUAUGGUCUUAAUUGAUGAUAAAAUAUGAGAUACAUUUUGUAAUGGUUAUUAAAACAUUAUAUAUGUAUAUAUUUUUUUUCUUCUUUCAGAUAUGUUAUUUUGAACCCAUCUGUAAAGGCUAUCUAUGCUCUUUUACUUCAGCACCAUCUUGGAAUUGGCGAUGACGUAUUGUAAAUUAGAAUGAAAAGGGAAACAGUGUUUUGAAAGCCUCUCAGCUGUUACAAACGCCAUCUUGGCUGCUACCUUCAGACUGUUUGAAGAAACUAGCUGACUAGAAAAAGCUGAAAAAUUUGGUGAAGUUCUUGCCACCGCCAACGACCGGGAAGGCAGGAAGACUAAGUUUGUCUCAACUGACAGUUUUGUUUUAGAAACAAUUGAUUGUAUUAAAGAAUAUAAUAAAUUAUAGAAAUUAGUA